rnacentral:rRNA from 1 species
AGCAGCCGCGGUAAUUCCAGCUCCAAUAGCGUAUAUUAAAGUUGUUGCAGUUAAAAAGCUCGUAGUUGAAUUUCGGGGUCGGUAGAUUGGUCGUGCCUCUGGUAUGCACUGGUCUUACUGGCUCCUCCUUCCUGAUGAACCGUAAUGCCAUUAAUUUGGUGUUGCGGGGAGACUGGACUGUUACUUUGAAAAAAUUAGAGUGUUUAAAGCAGGCUAACGCUUGAAUACAUUAGCAUGGAAUAAUGAAAUAGGACGUUCGAUCUUAUUUUGUUGGUUUCUAAGAUUGACGUAAUGAUUAAUAGGGAUAGUUGGGGGCAUUAGUAUUCAAUUGUCAGAGGUGAAAUUCUUGGAUGUAU